UUUAACCAGUGCACUCAUGUGGCACAGUUUUAAUCCUUCAUUGCUUCUGGAGAAGGGUCAUUUAAAGUGAAAUCCUGGCCUCAGAGGAGUUGGUGGGAAUUCUGAAGUGACUUCAGCAGGGGCCAUGGCUCCAUCUCUCACGUCCCCACAAGGGCACUGAGCGAGCGGAGGGGUGAGCGCUCGCGUGUAUCAAGUGCAGAAUAAAGCAGGGGGGUCAGGAGGAGGAAGUCAGGGCUCUGAACUGUGCAUUAAGCUGCUGCUGCCAAGGGACUCCUGCCAAGGAGAGGAAUAUGCACUUUACAUGCCCCAUGCACACAGUCUCUCCUUGCUCAGCGUCAAGGCCACAACGUACCGAGCGGUUUUGUGAGAAAGCAAAACACGUUUCCUUGUUUACAGUCUGCCUCAUUCAGGAUCUGGAAUUCCUAAAGAGCAGUAAAACCCUACCAUGUGACUGAAGACUGAUUUCCAGGAAAAACGGAAGAGGUUCUAGGAAAGAUCUGCCUUUGUGAUGACCACUCCCAGAGCAAUCAAGCCUGAGGAAAUUUGUGUCUGAACUGAUGAAGCUCAGUUUUAUUCUCAGCUCCUCACUGGAAAUUUGAAAGUUUUUGUUCUACCUUCACUUUUUCCAUAGUGUUCCUAAUUAAAGAUCUGUGUGUUAAUUCCAUCUGGUUUGGUGUCAGCUCUUCCACGUCAUCAGCAUAUAUUCUGUUACUUCUAGCAUCCCAAAACCACAGGUGAAAUGUGCCAGGUAGAUUUGCUGUUGCGUCAC
rnacentral:lncRNA from 1 species